AUUGAACGCUGGCGGCAUGCCUUACACAUGCAAGUCGAACGGCAGCAUGGAAGAGCUUGCUCUUCUGAUGGCGAGUGGCGAACGGGUGAGUAAAGCAUCGGAACGUACCGUGUAAUGGGGGAUAACGUAGCGAAAGUUACGCUAAUACCGCAUACGACCUGAGGGUGAAAGCAGGGGAUCGCAAGACCUGGCGUUAUACGAGCGGCCGAUGUCAGAUUAGCUAGUUGGUAGGGUAAAGGCCUACCAAGGCGACGAUCUGUAGCGGGUCUGAGAGGAUGAUCCGCCACACUGGGACUGAGACACGGCCCAGACUCCUACGGGAGGCAGCAGUGGGGAAUUUUGGACAAUGGGGGCAACCCUGAUCCAGCCAUGCCGCGUGAGUGAAGAAGGCCUUCGGGUUGUAAAGCUCUUUCGGCCGGGAAGAAAUCGCACAGGCUAAUACUCUGUGUGGAUGACGGUACCGGCAUAAGAAGCACCGGCUAACUACGUGCCAGCCGCCGCGGUAA
rnacentral:rRNA from 1 species